rnacentral:lncRNA from 1 species
AAUUUGUGGUAAAAAUUUGGGUAUGUAAGUAAAUGGUAUUUGAUAAGGGAUAGGAAAGAAUGUGAACUCAAAAUUAUAACCCAUUCUUUUUAACAUUUUCAGGUUAACAACAGUUCAGAUUCUAUGUGAUCAAUAUAGAAGAUCUUCACAUAUACAAACCUGUCCUUCUCUGGGAUGUAAUUAUCAGUUUCCUGGGAGAUCGAAAUGUUCCAUCCUGCAGGGAAGCUCUUUAAACAGGAAGAAAAGCAACUCAAAAGAGCUUCAGGAAGUUCCUGAAACUGACCAGACUCACCAGGACCUUCCUUUUGAGUAAAAGCUGAAAGUCUCUGAGUCGAAACAAACAGAGAUACUCUACAAACACAGUCUUAGACAAGCCAAGCUGCAAAGAAGACUGAGAUCGGACUUUGUCUGGAAGAGGUUUAAAGCAGGGGAUCUCGUUGCUUGCUCUGGUGGAAGAUUUUUUUGAGCUCCGGAGGAUGGAGAUUUGAGGUUCAAGAGAAGAAGGACGCCUAAUAAGGAACACAUGGCAACCGGUC